AUCAAGGAAAUUGCAAUUUUAUAAAAUUUGGGGGCAUGGAUAUAAAAGGGAGAAAGAUCAUUAACAGUGAUAAACUAAAUUGCCCUUAUGUAAGAAUAUCGCUACAAAGAAGAUAGGGGAUGGGAAGGCUGAAGCAUAAUUUUUCCACAUAUAUUACAGAGAGCCUUCAAGGCAACAAAUGGACUCGAAAGUAAGGAGAAUAAGGGAGCAGCAUAGGAGCGCAUGAACCUGGAAGACAAAUUAAACACUGAUCUGAGUAGGUGGACUGGAGAUACAAAGCAUCCCAGCCAAGCACUACCUGCAACAGAACAAAUAUGAAGGAAAGGGAAUGAGACUAAGAAGACAAGAUAAAGAGGAAAGUAGGGAGGUUUAAACACCAACCUAGUGUCUAAGACGCCUUUUGAUAGUCUUGACAGCUGAAGAAUAAGCUCGACAUCGUCAAUAUCGGCGGAGCUGAAGGUUCAUCCAAGGCGGAGCAUAUCAGGAAUAGGAAAGUUCAGUGGAUGUGGAUUAGGAUACCCUAGUCUAAUGGGAACGUGUUCAUAGAGAAGGAACUGAGGGCUUGUUGUUGGAGAUAAGAGGCUGCAUUCACACAAAAAGGGAACCACUCAUGUUAACAUUGUAAACCAAGAUAAG
rnacentral:lncRNA from 1 species